rnacentral:rRNA from 1 species
AAAGUCGUAACAAGGUUUCUGUAGGUGA